rnacentral:rRNA from 1 species
UACGUAGGGUGCAAGCGUUAAUCGGAAUUACUGGGCGUAAAGCGUGCGCAGGCGGUUUUGUAAAGACCCGAUGUGAAAUCCCCGGGCUUAACCUGGGAACUGCAUUGGUGACUGCAAGGCUUGAGUGUGUCAGAGGGAGGUGGAAUUCCGCGUGUAGCAGUGAAAUGCGUAGAUAUGCGGAGGAACACCGAUGGCGAAGGCA